CCUUUGAGAGUGAUUCAUUCACAGUACCAGCCAUUGGGACUGAUCCAGUAUCGAUUCCCGGCGUAUCUAGCUUACCUCGGAGUGACAGACCUGCAGGACCAGCCACCGGGGCCGAUACUCUUACGACUCCUGGCAUUCCCCGUGUGCCUGAGGAUGGUGGACUCGCA